rnacentral:rRNA from 1 species
AGAGUUUGAUCAUGGCUCAGGACGAACGCUGGCGGCACGCUUAACACAUGCAAGUCGAACGAGAGAAGAGGAGCUUGCUUUUCUGAUCUAGUGGCGGACGGGUGAGUAACACGUGAGCAAUCUGCCUUUCAGAGGGGGAUACCGAUUGGAAACGAUCGUUAAUACCGCAUAACAUAAUUGAACCGCAUGAUUUGAUUAUCAAAGAUUUAUCGCUGAAAGAUGAGCUCGCGUCUGAUUAGCUAGUUGGUAAGGUAACGGCUUACCAAGGCGACGAUCAGUAGCCGGACUGAGAGGUUGAUCGGCCACAUUGGGACUGAGACACGGCCCAGACUCCUACGGGAGGCAGCAGUGGGGAAUAUUGCACAAUGGAGGAAACUCUGAUGCAGCGAUGCCGCGUGAGGGAAGAAGGUUUUAGGAUUGUAAACCUCUGUCUUCAGGGACGAAAAAAGACGGUACCUGAGGAGGAAGCUCCGGCUAGCUACGUGCCAGCAGCCGCGGUAAUACGUAGGGAGCGAGCGUUGUCCGGAAUUACUGGGUGUAAAGGGAGCGUAGGCGGGAUCGCAAGUCAGAUGUGAAAACUAUGGGCUUAACCCAUAAACUGCAUUUGAAACUGUGGUUCUUGAGUGAAGUAGAGGUAAGCGGAAUUCCUAGUGUAGCGGUGAAAUGCGUAGAUAUUAGGAGGAACAUCAGUGGCGAAGGCGGCUUACUGGGCUUUAACUGACGCUGAGGCUCGAAAGCGUGGGGAGCAAACAGGAUUAGAUACCCUGGUAGUCCACGCCGUAAACGAUGAUUACUAGGUGUGGGGGGACUGACCCCUUCCGUGCCGCAGCAAACGCAAUAAGUAAUCCACCUGGGGAGUACGACCGCAAGGUUGAAACUCAAAGGAAUUGACGGGGGCCCGCACAAGCAGUGGAGUAUGUGGAUUAAUUCGAAGCAACGCGAAGAACCUUACCAGGUCUUGACAUCGUAUGCAUAGCUCAGAGAUGAGUGAAAUCUCUUCGGAGACAUAUAGACAGGUGGUGCAUGGUUGUCGUCAGCUCGUGUCGUGAGAUGUUGGGUUAAGUCCCGCAACGAGCGCAACCCUUACUGUUAGUUGCUACGCAAGAGCACUCUAGCAGGACUGCCGUUGACAAAACGGAGGAAGGUGGGGAUGACGUCAAAUCAUCAUGCCCCUUAUGACCUGGGCCUCACACGUACUACAAUGGCUGUCAACAGAGGGAAGCAAAGCCGCGAGGUGGAGCGAACCCCUAAAAGCAGUCUUAGUUCGGAUUGUAGGCUGCAACCCGCCUACAUGAAGUCGGAAUUGCUAGUAAUCGCAGAUCAGCAUGCUGCGGUGAAUACGUUCCCGGGCCUUGUACACACCGCCCGUCACGCCAUGGGAGUCGGUAACACCCGAAGCCUGUAGUCUAACCGCAAGGAGGACGCAGUCGAAGGUGGGAUUGAUGACUGGGGUGAAGUCGUAACAAGGUA